UUGGAGGGCAAGUCUGGUGCCAGCAGCCGCGGUAAUUCCAGCUCCAAUAGCGUAUAUUAAAGUUGUUGCAGUUAAAAAGCUCGUAGUUGAAUUUCGGGAUCAAUUUAUUGGUCGUGCCAACGGUACGCACUGGUACAAUUGGUUUCUCCCUUCUGACGAAGCAUGAUGUCAUUAAUUUGAUGUCGUGGGGAAUCAGGACUGUUACUUUGAAAAAAUUAGAGUGUUUAAAGCAGGCUUUGGCUUGAAUACAUUAGCAUGGAAUAAUGAAAUAGGACGUUUGAUCUUAUUUCGUUGGUUUCUAAGAUCGACGUAAUGAUUAAUAGGGAUAGUUGGGGGCAUUAGUAUUCAAUUGUCAGAGGUGAAUUUCUUGGAUUUAUUGAAGACUAACUACUGCGAAAGCAUUUGCCAAGGAUGUUUUCAUUAAUCAAGAACGAAAGUUAGGGGAUCGAAGACGAUCAGAUACCGUCGUAGUCUUAACCAUAAACUAUGCCGACUAGGGAUCGGAUGAUGUUAAUUUUUUAAUGACUCAUUCGGCGCCUUACGGGAAAC
rnacentral:rRNA from 1 species